AGUCGAGGGGUAUAGUUCUUCGGAACUAGAGACCGGCGCACGGGUGCGUAACGCGUAUGCAACCUACCUUUCACAGGGGGAUAGCCCAGAGAAAUUUGGAUUAAUACCCCAUGGUAUAUAGAGAUGGCAUCAUUUUUAUAUUAAAGUCACAACGGUGAAAGAUGGGCAUGCGUCCCAUUAGCUAGAUGGUAAGGUAACGGCUUACCAUGGCUACGAUGGGUAGGGGUCCUGAGAGGGAGAUCCCCCACACUGGUACUGAGACACGGACCAGACUCCUACGGGAGGCAGCAGUGAGGAAUAUUGGACAAUGGGCGCAAGCCUGAUCCAGCCAUGCCGCGUGCAGGAUGACGGUCCUAUGGAUUGUAAACUGCUUUUAUACGGGAAGAAACCCCGCCUCGUGAGGCGGAUUGACGGUACCGUAAGAAUAAGGAUCGGCUAACUCCGUGCCAGCAGCCGCGGUAAUACGGAGGAUCCAAGCGUUAUCCGGAAUCAUUGGGUUUAAAGGGUCCGUAGGCGGCCUUAUAAGUCAGUGGUGAAAUCUCCCGGCUCAACCGGGAAAUUGCCAUUGAUACUGUAGGGCUUGAAUUAUUAGGAAGUAACUAGAAUAUGUAGUGUAGCGGUGAAAUGCUUAGAGAUUACAUGGAAUACCAAUUGCGAAGGCAGGUUACUACUAAU
rnacentral:rRNA from 1 species